rnacentral:rRNA from 1 species
UGUUGUUGCAGUUAAAAAGCUCGUAGUCGGAUUUCAGUAUUAGGCCCUUCUUCCAAUACGGUUGCUAGUGGUCUUUACUUCCUUAACAGAAUCUUUCAUUUUAUUAAUUUAAAGUGUUUGGGGCCUGUUUCUUUUACUUUGAGAAAAUUAGAGUGUUCAAAGCGGGUUUUCGCCUGGAUAUUACUCUUGGAAUAAUAAUAUAGGACUUUGGUUCUUUUUUGUUGGUGACUUAGAACCGAAGUAAUGAUUGAUAGGGACAGUUGGGGUC